CUGCCCGAGAGCCUUAUCUGGGCUUUUGUGGUCCAGCUAAGUUCGGUGCUGCGUACCAUCCACGCCGCUGGCCUUGCAUGCCGUUCCUUUGAGCCUUCCAAAAUUCUGGUCAUGGGCAAGUCACGUCUGCGCCUCAACUGCUGUGGCAUCAGGAUGUGCUCACUUUUGACUCAGCUGUGCCCAGCGCAAAGGCACUUGUGCCUCACUAUCAGCAAGAAGACUUGGUUUCCUUGGGGAAGUUGGUACUUGCCCUGGCCUGCAACACCAUGGCUGCGAUUCAGCGCGAAAACUUGCAGCAGUCAAUGGAUCUGGUGUCUCGCAACUACUCAACUGACCUCAGGAACCUGAUCUUGUACCUGCUGUCCUCGCCACCUCGUACGCAC